rnacentral:tRNA from 1 species
GAUAAAAUGGCUGAAUAAACAUUAGACUGUAAAUCUAAACACAGAGGUUAUAGCCCUGUUUUUUUUU